rnacentral:piRNA from 1 species
UGAGAGUAGGAUACUUAUUUGGUCUUGGG